GGUGGCCAACACUUGCCCAGCCCGGGAUCCUUUGCAUGCCUCUAGCAAACUCACAGCAAAUGCUUUGCAGACCCCAGUCGCUGGCUGUGAGAGAGUCAGCGUCGCACAGCUACAGAGGAACGGCAGGAACUGAAACCAGCUCUGUAAUUUAUAGCACUAAUAAGGCUCAACUGCCAUUUCUUGCGGUUUCCUCCCAAGUUGUCUUUGAAAAUUUCGACUUGUGCUGUGUUUGUUGUUGUUGCUGCUAAGGUUCACUAGUUAGGGGAAGAAAAUGGGAGGAAGGCAAAGAUGAGAAAAGAGGAGAGAAGAUGUGACCCCUUCCUACCGGAACCUCCCCUUCACUUUUGUUUCUUUGCAGCAACACAAUAAAAAAAACUAUCGAAACAAAGCUAAAAAUGACAGAAUGUUUUGAA